rnacentral:misc_RNA from 1 species
GAUGAAGAACGUAGCGAAAUGCGAUAAGUAGUGUGAAUUGCAGAAUUCAGUGAAUCAUCGAAUCUUUGAACGCACAUUGCGCCCUCUGGUAUUCCGGAGGGCAUGCCUGUUCGAGCGUCAUUAAAACUACUCAAGCUAAGGUUUUACCUUCUGCUUGGUCUUGGGUUUGAGGAUUCAAAAUCCUCUCUCCGAAAUCCAGUGGCGAAUUGUUUGAGCUGUAGACGUAGUAAUUCAUUCUACCCGUUGCAAGCGAGAAUAAUAUUCAGCCAUAACCCCCAUACUUUUCUAGUUUGACCUCGGAUCAGGUAGGGAUACCCGCUGAACUUAAGCAUAUCAAUAAGCGGAGGA